rnacentral:guide_RNA from 1 species
GUAUUUAAAACAACGCACUGGCUGAAUAAGAUUAUAUAAGUGAGAUGUG